GCACUGGGGGCAAGGACAACAAUCCCAGGAUUCUGUGUACUCUUGUCCGGAAAUAACAGACACAAACCGGGGUCAGACGCUGAGCUCUGGAAUCUAGAUGAAAGACGCGGCGGUGGCAGGUCAGACACAGCAUGUCUCUUUAUGUGCUUCAUUCUGAGAUGUGACUCUAGCUCGACAGGUGAAUACGUGUUUCUUUCCCAGCGUUGUAUCCCAUGACCCCAGAUCUUUCAUAUCCGUGAAUAAAU